GCGAUGUGAUGAUAGAAACUCGUAAUUCACUGAUCUAAUAAUUUGAUGUUACAUUGAAGUUCCGACAGGUUCUGAUCGC
rfam:Gossypium arboreum cultivar AKA8401 contig_20884_1, whole genome shotgun sequence.